AUCUGAUAUGAGGAUGGAAACCCCUGCUUGUUUACAUGGUCCAUGUGAGUGUUAUAAAGAAUUCAAUCCAUGAUGGUUUAUAGCACCAAUCUCAAGAUUCAAUUUGAGACUAAUCGCCUUCUUCCACUGCCGGUUGGAGCUGAGGCCUGGAAGAUUUGGGGCACAAGUGUCAAAACUGAUUUUUCACUCUUCCUGCAAUCUGCCAGGUGGGAAUAGAGAAGGUGGUGGAAGCACUUUGACCUUGGAGGACCCAAACUGAUGUACAACCUUAAGCACAAUCAUCUGUAAAAACAAAAACAAACAACAACAACAAAAAGAAAAACACCCCCAAGCAUUGAACUAAGUAUCAUUGGUUUAUAUUUAUUUGCAGUUUUCUCAGCUGCCAACAUUUGCCAACAGGGCCACUUUCUUCCUAAAAAUAAAAUAAAAAUAGACAAAGGGAAGCAACCUUCAGGAUCUCAGUGGAACUCACUUAACUGAUUCUUCUAGAGGAGCUGGCCUGUAUGCCCUGCAGAGUGCCGAAGUCUGACAUCGUGUCCAGGGGGGAGCUUCAGAUUCCAUAGGCCCUUGGAGUUUGGCUUAGAAAAUGGGCCUUUAAAAGUCAAGCAGAAAGAGAGGGAGCCCUGACUCCUAGGGUGGGGUGCUGGCCUCCCUGGCAGGAAGUGUUCUGAGGUGCUGACAAUGAGGAAACAGGCCGUGUUUUUUGUUUAUUUUCUCAUAAAGUGCUGAUGAACAGACGAGGGAGUCGCAUUAAGGGGCUCUGAAGGCAAGCUGUGAAAAGAGAUUGGGGUUUUAUCAGCUUUUUAGCCUGGUUUCCUUUGGAAAGAAUGCUUCUGACAUGGCCGGGCCCUGCGUGUCCACCCCCUCAUCCCCUGACCCCUCCUUGUCCUUGUGCUCUUUGAUAACUCAGAAUGCCUCAAAAACGAAGUCAACCUUUUUGGAAGCUGAGGCGACAGUGGGGGGUCACAGGCUCGUCCAUAAUAAAAGCAAAUGAAUGAGAGAGAAAGCGAAUUUUCCCACCAUAAA